rnacentral:antisense_RNA from 1 species
CGCGCGGUGUACUCCCAAAUCGAUUCUUCAUCGACGAGGCGCCCUCGCCGAAGUAGGCGCCGUCGGCGACGGUCCGCAGGACGGCGUCCUCGCCGUACGGGCCGGGGCCGAUGUGCUCGAUGCGGCCGUGGGCGAGGAGGAAGACCUGGUCCGAGGGGCUGCCGAAGGAGGUGAGCUCCUGGCCGGGCUCGAAGUCGAUCUGGCGGCAGCGCUGGGCGAGUUCGCCGAGGACGUCGAGGUCGUCGUAGUCGCGCAGCAGGGGCAGCUCGCCCAGUUCGGCCGGGAUCACCUGGACCUGGGACCCCGUCUGGACGAAUUCCACGACGCCGUUGCCGACCGAGUAGGUCAGGCGGCGGUUGACGCGGUAGGUGCCGCCCUGCACGGAGACCCAGGGCAGCAUCUUCAGCAGCCACCGGGAGGUGAUCUCCUGCAUCUGCGGCGCGGACUUGGUCGUGGUUGCCAAGUUCCGUGCGGCCGCCGUCCCCAGACUGCUCUGCGGUGCCUGGA